UACGAAGGGGGCAAGCGUUGUUCGGAAUCACUGGGCGUAAAGGGUGCGUAGGUGGUUAUGUAAGUUGGAUGUGAAAACCCCUGGCUCAACCAGGGAUCUGCAUUCAAAACUGCAUGACUUGAGUACGGGGGAAGAGAGUGGAAUUCUCAGUGUAGCGGUGAAAUGCGUAGAUAUUGAGAAGAACACCUGUGGCGAAAGCGGCUCUCUACCUUGAUACUGACACUGAGGCACGAAAGCUAGGGUAGCAAACGGG
rnacentral:rRNA from 1 species